rnacentral:snRNA from 1 species
UCUCGCUUAGGCAGUACAUAUUCUAAAUUGGAUCGAUACAGCGAAGAUUAGCACGGCCUUGCGCAAGGAUGACACGCAAAAUCGUGAAGCAUGCGUUCCACAUUUUU